AUUUAUUUCUGACAUUUUUGGUUUUGCCUA
rnacentral:piRNA from 1 species